AUUUAUAUAGUUUAAUAAAAACAUUACAUUUUCAAUGUAAAAUUAAUUUUUUUUUGUAAAUA
rnacentral:tRNA from 1 species